CCAACCUUACCACCUCCCAAAAAACCAGCAACAGUAAUUCAACCAAAAACACCCCCAACUCAGGGAAACAAGAACAAUCUGUUGCAAAAAAGACACUGAGAAAAAAACAGAGUGUUUCAGCCGGCUCCCCCGAUGAAGUAAAAGCAAAAACAAAUUGAAGGAUGGGUGUGGUUGUUAAAGAUCAGAUUUUAAUUGUGUGAUCAUUAUGGAAACAAAUUGAAGUAUAUGAAUAGACUCGUAGCCCGUCGGGAACUUUUUCGCCGGCGAAAGCUUGAUGCCGCCGACAAGGUGCAGAAUGUUCCUUCGAGCUUUGCUUUUUUGUGGGGUUCUUUUUGGGUGUUCAAUCUGAGUGUCUUUCUCUCUACUCCUUUCUUUCCAUAUUUUUUCUCGUCGAUAGAUAGACUCGCCGGAACUUUGUCCAUGGUUACAGGCUUACAGCUUGAUCACCGGCAGCCUCUUCAACGGUACUGUAAUAGAGAAGAGCAAAAGACACUGGAGAAAAUGGUAAAGAUCUCUUUUUUCGAUCAAAUCUUUUUGUUCUAAAAAUUGGGUCCCACAUUGACAGUUGGUGUCCGGUAGCGUCAAUGUGGCGUCCACAUAAAAUAUUUACC
rnacentral:lncRNA from 1 species